GUGUCAGCAGCCGCGGUAAUACGAGGGGUGCAAACGUUAUUCGGAAUCAUUGGGCGUAAAGGGUACGUAGACGGCGAAAUAAGUCAGUCAUUAAAUCUCUCAGCUUAACUGAGAACUUGUGGCUGAAACUGAUUUGCUUGAGGAUGGAAGAGAGAAGCGGAAUUCUCGGAGUAGCGGUAAAAUGCGUAGAUCUCGAGAGGAACACCGAUGGCGAAGGCAGCUUCUUGGUCCAUUUCUGACGUUGAGGUACGAAAGCGUGGGGAGCAAACAGGAUUAGAUACCCUGGUAGUCCACGCUGUAAACGAUGAUCACUAGAUGUUAGACUCGUUUUAGAGUUUAGUGUCGCAGCUAACGCAUUAAGUGAUCCGCCUGGGAAGUACGGUCGCAAGAUUAAA
rnacentral:rRNA from 1 species